ensembl:lncRNA
UUUUGACAAAAUGUGUGCACUGGGCCAGAAGCGCUCCAACAGUGGUCCCCAAACUCUGAUUUAGAGUCAGUCAAAAGCUGCAAUAGCAGCACGCUGGAUUGCACAGCAGUUGCAGCCUCAGCCUGACAGCAGGGCAGUGCAAGGCUUCCCCAGCUCCUUCCAGCCCCAGGUGACAGCCUGCAGCCCCCACGUCCUUCUGCAGUGUCACAUCAGCAGUCCACAGCUGGGCAGCAAGCUAGUGCUGUUAAUCAGGCUAAUAGUGUUAAAUGCCCCGGCUCCUUUAAAUCACUUUAGCUGGUGUCCUACACCUGCAUUUCUCACCCCAUCACCUGUGCUGCUAGGGAGGAGCUGAGAGUAGCAGCUGUGGGGUGAGGAGUUAAAGCACAGCAGGGUGUGCAGGUCCUAGGAUAAGGGGUAGGCACUUUGUUUGCUGUUGGGAUAUGGCAUAGCAGAAGCCCUUAGAGCUGCUACAGGGAGCAGAGAGUGCUGAGACACUCAAGGAUUGGGGGGAUUAUGGCAGUCCUAUGGCCAUCCCACCUACUUCCACCAUGGAGAAGCAGCAAUCUGGGAUCCUUCCAGUAGGCUCUGUGGGAUUCCAGCUCUCGAAGCUGGCUGGAGCAAAGCUUUCCAAGGCCGCAUUUCGAAUCGCUCCUGGUGCAGCAGGGUGGGCUCUGGGGCACAGCUAUGAGUAUCAGCGCUCCCACUGAUUUUUCGGAUGGGUUUUGGCUGCUCAGACCUCCUGGAGCUCAGCCCAGCAUUCUCCACGUGGCGUGGCUCCAGAAAUGGAAGCACUCCAAUGUGAAACAUCACCUGAGCUGUUAGGACCUGCUGGAGCAUUCCCUCUCGUGUUGGCCAGUGACCCAUAUGGAGCAGCAUGUUGCUGCUGAAUGGUGGCAGCUGCACCCACUGCAAUUCCCAGGCCUGGCACCCAUUCUCACAGUUGAGAUGUUGGCAAGUGAGGGAGGUGACAGGGCUCAGCCCCUGCCUCCUCCUGUUCUGGCUUGUGCAUCACAAUCCAUGCUGGCUACAGUGCCCUGGCAAGGCAGGUGUCCUGCUCUUGCUGCACACAACCAGAGGAAGUUCCCAAUGGGAAUCAGUCCCCACUCCUGCACUGCAAGCACAGCACUGUGAACCUUUUGGGGUGACAUUUGGCAAAAACAGAAGUGGAGGCUGAAUCUGCUCUGAAAGCCACAGUGUAGUUGCAAGCUUGGUCUGGCAAGGGGAUUUCCUGCACUUGCACAUCCCAUCCUAGCACAGGAGGUCUGACUGGAGAAAGCUGUGGGAUCCCAUUCUGAUAGAGAACCACACUGUCUGUAAAGCUGCUCACCUACCUCUGCCAAAAUGAGAAUCCUGAGCCUAAGCAUUGCAGGAAGCCUCAAGAACACAGAAUAAAUCCAACCUCACAAUUCACUGGAAUUAAGAGGUGGAGUGUUUCCUACAGGUUUUAUGUCUGGUAUGAUUUAUUAUUUAAUUUAAACACAUAAUUUCCAGCAGUUUCGUUUUGCAAGCAAUCACCUGGGCUAUGUUAACCUGAUAGUGACGUACUGCUGUCCUGGGGUGCCCUGGGAGAGAGAGAGCAAGAGCAUAGCACUCAGAGGUGUGAUCUUCCCCUGUUUAUCUUGAUGGGGUGCACACAACCUUGGCAGAGAAGCGAGUCCAAACAACUUAACCAUGUCACUGCCAGAUGCUGCUGUUGAAAGGGCUGGUGGUACAGCAGUAUGAGCUGUAUGGGCCAUGUCAUUUCUCCACUCAGAUCCUUCCAGCACCAAGGGGUGCAGGUUGUCUGGCAAGGAUUCAUGGUUAUGCCUGCUAAAGACUCCUGGAACAUCACAGAGCAGGUUACAGCCAACCCUGCAGGAGAGCAGAGACCACAGCCUUUAGUGGGACACGAGCUAGAAACUGGGCAGCUCCCUUUACAUUCAGAGCUCAUCUGGCUGGCUGUCAGCAGAGUCUUGCAGAGCACAGUGCUGAGCCUCUUGUGCCAGUUUGGAGACUCCCUUUUGCACCCAGAAGUGUGCCUGCAAAAGCCCCUGAAGAUGGCAGAUGCUACAGAGGAGUGGUCCUUUCCUCCGAUCACAGCUUGCUGCAGCACGGUGGGUGUUGCAGCAGCUCCUUUUCAUGCAAGGCCACCUGAGCAAGGUUUCUUUGGGGCCCUGGGGAUAUUUAAGCUUUAACACAAAACUGUUGCUUAAGGCUUUUAGGACCUUUUAAUGCCCAAAGCGGGAGGUGUGAGGCUGUUCUCAGGCUGUCACACAUCACAAGAUACAGCCCCUAUACCUCUGUGUGUCACCUUAUUCCUGUGAGCUAGGGGCAAACACCUCUUCCAACAGGAGAGGUGUCUGAAACAGCCUUUCCAUUACAUUUAUAUUUAAAGACCUAACAGUGACUGAAGCACUUUGCAUAAUAAACGCAUCUAAAUACAGAAAUAUUUGCCUGCUCUCAGUAUAAAAGGAAGUCCUCAGAUCCUCUUCUGAAGACUGCAAGAAAGCGACAGAGUUUUCCCUCUACGGGAUAUAAAUAUGCAGUGCAAAUAGGUGGCUGCUGUCUCUGCUUACGUGUUGAUGCAUCUCUUCAGAUAGCCUGGCAGAGCUGGAUUAUUUUAGCAUCAAAUCAAAGCUCAGGAUGUGUAAAGAAGCUGAGGAAAGGUACAGUCUGUGUUGCAGCACAGGAUGGUAGCUGCAAGAAGAUUGGAAGCAGUCCUGUGAGACACGCACCAGCCACGCAUACUAAAGCUGCCAUUUAGUGCAUCGAAAAGGAUCUCAGUUCAGCAGGGCUGCUGCAGAACAGAAGCAGAUGCCUUCAGAUUCAGGUUGGGGCAGGGGAUUGCUCUCAUAGGAAGGCGUGUGAUUCAUCCUCACAUUAGCUGAAAGAAGAUACAGCUUUUGUUUCCUUUUUAGUUUCCAUUUCCUCAUGAGAGAAAAAUAAAAGGCCUGUUUACACUGGAAGAAGAACCGCAAUGGCUGAUCCCCCUUUUUAAAGCAGAAAGCUCUCAUAUGCAGUGCAGCCUUGCUGUCCUUGACUUUCACGUCGGCCCAAAUCCAUCUGAUCUGCAUCCCCCUCAGCGCCAGCUGCCUGUGGAUGCAGGGCAUGUGUACAGCACUUCGCACAGUGCAGUCUCUGCAGGGUUGCUGCAGCCUCUGCAUUCCAGCCCGACACGAUCGCACAGACAAGCAGCGGAAGGUGGGUCGCACGCUCAGGCUCCCUGCAGGCCAGCUGUGCGCAGCGAGCACGGCUCAUUUCCUGCCCAAGGGAUCCGGCAGCAGCAGCGUUUCGAGACACUUAAAAUCAGACUGUGCCUCAGAGCGUUUGUGAGGGGUCUGUGGGAGCGUGGCUCAGCGCAGUUCAAGAUCCUCCCGCAGAGAGCCCAUGUAA